GUGGGGAAUAUUGGACAAUGGGCGAAAGCCUGAUCCAGCCAUGCCGCGUGUGUGAAGAAGGUCUUCGGAUUGUAAAGCACUUUAAGUUGGGAGGAAGGGCAGUAAGUUAAUACCUUGCUGUUUUGACGUUACCGACAGAAUAAGCACCGGCUAACUUCGUGCCAGCAGCCGCGGUAAUACGGAGGGAGCUAGCGUUGUUCGGAAUUACUGGGCGUAAAGCGCACGUAGGCGGCUUUGCAAGUUAGAGGUGAAAGCCCCGGGCUCAACCUGGGAACUGCCUCCAAAACUGCAUGACUAGAGUACGGUAGAGGGUAGUGGAAUUUCCUGUGUAGCGGUGAAAUGCGUAGAUAUAGGAAGGAACACCAGUGGCGAAGGCGACUACCUGGACUGAUACUGACACUGAGGUGCGAAAGCGUGGGGAGCAAACAGGAUUAGAAACCCUGGUAGUCC
rnacentral:rRNA from 1 species